ACGAACGCUGGCGGCAGGCCUAACACAUGCAAGUAGAGCGCCCCGCAAGGGGAGCGGCGCACGGGUGAGUAACGCGUGGGAACCUGCCCCUCGGUACGGAACAACCCAGGGAAACUUGGGCUGAUACCGUAUGUGUUCCCGGGCUGUGGUGGCCUGGGAAGAAAGAUUUAUCGCCGAGGGAGGGGCCCGCGUCCGAUUAGCUUGUUGGCGGGGUAACGGCCCACCAAGGCAUCGAUCGGUAGCUGGUCUGAGAGGAUGAUCAGCCACACUGGGACUGAGACACGGCCCAGACUCCUACGGGAGGCAGCAGUGGGGAAUAUUGGACAAUGGGGGCAACCCUGAUCCAGCCAUGCCGCGUGCGUGAUGAAGGCCUUAGGGUUGUAAAGCGCUUUCGGCGGGGAAGAUAAUGACGGUACCCGCAGAAGAAGCCUCGGCUAACUCCGU
rnacentral:rRNA from 1 species